rnacentral:rRNA from 1 species
AUACGGAGGGUGCAAGCGUUAAUCGGAAUUACUGGGCGUAAAGAGUACGUAGGCGGCCUACUAAGUCAGAUGUGAAAGCCCAGGGCUCAACCUUGGAACUGCAUUUGAAACUGGUAGGCUAGAGUAUGGUAGAGGGGGGUAGAAUUUCUGGUGUAGCGGUGAAAUGCGUAGAUAUCAGAAGGAAUACCAGUGGCGAAGGCGGCCCCCUGGCCCAAUACUGACGCUGAGGUACGAAAGCGUGGGUAGCGAACGGGAUUAGAAACCCCAGUAGUCC